ensembl:lncRNA
UCUGGUCCCAGUCUUAAUAUGCCCUGGAUUACAAAAAUCCAUAAAGUGGAUUUAUUGCCUGAUUCACUUGCUAUCACUCCGUUAAAGUAGUCCGAGAUGGCAGCUGCAGUAGUUCGCAAUUGGACCUUCGAGGAUUCCUGGUCACUAAAUUCCCUCCUUAGGGGGCUUUUAUUUUGCCUAUUAAAUUCGCGUAUAUAUAAGGUGAUGCACUUCCCGUCGACCUCUUCUGCUUCUACAACCGCGUGUCAUAAAGCUGUGGAGAUGAGCAGCCAAAGAGUUGGAGACGUUCCGUCUGAAGCUUGUACCGUUGAUCAAGCCCAUCUGCCAAAGAUGCAGACAUUUUGUGUGAAGCUCGUAACGUCGAUCCAGCUGGUCCACAGCCAAAGAUGCAGACAUUUUGUGUGAAGCCCGUAUCGUCGAUCCCGCUGGUCCACAGCCAAAGAUGCAGACAUUUUGUGUGAAGCCCGUAUCGUCGAUCCCGCUGGUCCACAGCCAAAGAUGCAGACAUUUUGUGUGAAGCCCGUAUCGUCGAUCCCGCUGGUCCACAGCCAAAGAUGCUGACAUUUUGUGUGAGGCUCGCAUCGUCGAUCCAGCUGUUCCACAGGUUGUUCGGACCUGGCAAUUGUAGAACAUCAUGCUGGUUCUACAGACACGGAAGGCACAAAGCACUGCAGACGGAAGAACCUACCAGUUCCUGAGGCAAGUUUUAUCCAGCCGGCAGAGGGUUGUCAUGGAGCUGAUUGUCAAAUACACAAUAUUUGUAUUUUGUACUGCAGAAACUGCAUUUUAGGGCUGGCUGUUUUCUGAACUUGACAUUGCCAAAUGUGAACAAUAAAAUGUUGUUGAAAAACGGGAAUUGUUUGGCUGUUAUGGUAAUAUUAUUUAACUUGAAUUAAUUUACAAUUAGGAGGUCAUCCAUACAGAAACUAUUCCAUCAUGGUCAUAUGCAUAUAUAUACUAUACAAAUAUAUUUAACUGUAAUAUUGAUAAUGCAUUA